CACGGGGGGAGCAAGCGUUGUUCGGAAUCACUGGGCGUAAAGGGCGUGUAGGCGGUUGUGUAAGUGGGAUGUGAAAUCCCCCGGCUUACCCGGGGACCUGCAUCCCAAACUGCACAGCUUGAGUAUGGGAGAGGAUGAGGGAAUUCCUGGUGUAGCGGUGAAAUGCGUAGAUAUCGGAAGGAACACCGGUGGCGAAGGCGGCCUUCUGGACGAGUGACUGACGCUGAGACGCGAAAGCGUGGGGAGCAAACAGG
rnacentral:rRNA from 1 species